GCAGCAGGGAGAACAGGAAGGGGAGGACGAAGGCAGGAGGGUGAGAUGGAGCAGGAGAGGGAGGAGACUGCGCCCCCUUGCCGGCACCUCUGCCAAAGCCGCUGCCUCACAGCGGGAAUGAGUCAGGCCUGGAACGCCAAGUGGGAGCCUUGGAAGGUUCUGGGAGCCACUGUUCACCUGGGCAGCGACUGAUGAGUGCCUCGCUUUUUGCCACCUGAGCCUACUGUGUUGUCACCACCAUCACAACAGUCACUACGGUGAACCAUCAGAUGCCCAGUGUUUCCGGGUUCCUGACUGGGCCACGCCUACCGCUAUACCCUCCUGCCGAGCCAGCCCCCGCCUUGGAGAGCACAGUGACCACCUCCAGGCAGGCACGAGAGACUCCCAGAAAACUUCCUGCACACUCAUCCUUGCCUCUGGUGGGUCAGCUUCCAGGGAGCUCACUGGCAGACACCUACUAGGGUCUCAGGAAGAUCACAGAAGGAUUGGCCCGCUUGCCUGGAUUCAGGCCACCUGACAGCAGCCCCCAGAGCCCAGCGACUCCCUGUCUGCAGUGGAAUUCACCCGGGGAACUGCCUAGGCUGCCUGCCUCCUCCAUCCCCUGCCCUCCUCCACUCCUCUGCCCCAACCCCGCGGCCAGGUUGCCCUGACAAGCGGCCCUGACAAGUGGCGGUGGGUCCUUAGGUGUGGCCCUUCUCCUCUGAGGCCUUCCGGCCCCAUCUGCUCAAUAGAGAGGUGCGAGCGGCUCUGGGGGGAGGUGGCCCAGCCUGAACUUCCUGUGCCUCCUAGGGCCUGACCUCUGCGAC